GAUCAUGGCUCAGGAUGAACGCUAGCUACAGGCUUAACACAUGCAAGUCGAGGGGCAGCAGGAUCUUAGCUUGCUAAGAUUGCUGGCGACCGGCGCACGGGUGAGUAACGCGUAUCCAACUUCCCUUAGUAGGGCAUAGCCCGAUGAAAAUCGGAUUAAUACCCUAUGUUUUCCAAUGAGGACAUCUGAGCUGGAACAAAGAUUCAUCGCUAAGGGAUGGGGAUGCGUCCGAUUAGGUAGUCGGCGGGGUAACGGCCCACCGAGCCAUCGAUCGGUAGGGGUUCUGAGAGGAAGGUCCCCCACAUUGGAACUGAGACACGGUCCAAACUCCUACGGGAGGCAGCAGUGAGGAAUAUUGGUCAAUGGGCGAGAGCCUGAACCAGCCAAGUAGCGUGCAGGAUGACGGCCCUAUGGGUUGUAAACUGCUUUUAUGCGGGGAUAAAGUUCGCCACGUGUGGCGUUUUGUAGGUACCGCAUGAAUAAGGACCGGCUAAUUCCGUGCCAGCCGCGGC
rnacentral:rRNA from 1 species